CAGCAGCCGCGGUAAUACCGGCGGCCCGAGUGGCGGCCACUAUUAUUGGGCUUAAAGCGUCCGUAGCCGGGUUGGUUAGUCUCCCGGGAAAUCUGGCCGCUUAACGGUCAGAAUUCCGGGAGAUACUGCCAGCCUAGGGACCGGGAGAGGCCGAGGGUAUUCCCGGAGUAGGGGUGAAAUCCUAUAAUCCCGGGAGGACCACCUGUGGCGAAGGCGCUCGGCUGGAACGGGUCCGACGGUGAGGGACGAAGGCCAGGGGAGCAAACCGGAUUAGAUACCCGGGUAGUCCUGGCGGUAAACGAUGCGGACUUUGUGUCGGACAAGCUAUGAGCUUGUCCGGUGCCGGAGGGAAACCGUUGAGUCCGCCGCCUGGGGAGUACGGCCGCAAGGCUGAAACUUAAAGGAAUUGGCGGG
rnacentral:rRNA from 1 species